ACAAAGAUUUGGUCCUGGUCUUAUUGUCAGUUAUCUCUUGAUUUACACAUGCAAGUCUCAGCACACCAGUGAGGACGCCCUUACCCCUUCUAUAGGACAAGGAGCUGAUAUCAGGCACUUCCACCGCCCAUAACAUCUAGUCCGACCACACCCCCAAGGGUAUUCAGCAGUGAUAAACAUUGUUUAUAAGCGACAGCUUGACUCAGUCAAAGAGAAGAGGGCCGGCCAACCCGGUGCCAGCCGCCGCGGCUAAACCCUAGGGCCCAAAUUGAUAAUACUCGGCGUCAAUCGUGAUUAAAGCUUUCUAAAAUUAGAGUAGAACCUAUUAUUAAGCUGUGAAAAGCAAUUUUUUUAGGGAAAAUCAGAAACGAAAGUUACUCUAAUACACACUUGAACACACGACAACUG
rnacentral:rRNA from 1 species